rnacentral:lncRNA from 1 species
AUGUUGCCAUUACAGGGGCCAGUGUCAUUCAAAGAUGUGGCUGUGGAUUUCACCCAGGAGGAGUGGCGGCAACUGGACCCUGAUGAGAAGAUAACAUACGGGGAUGUGAUGUUGGAGAACUACAGCCAUCUAGUUUCCUUGGGUGAGGAUAGCUUGCUUUCUGAAUGCUCUCAGUUGAAUGGGGUUUUAUGCUUGAGUUUGAAGAAAUAAGUGACAACACCACUUAAUUCCUUGUGGGCACUAGCUGCAGUGUUUAUAUUAUUCUUCAUUGAAAGGUUCUAUCUUUGAUAAGGUAAAAAAUGGAGCAUUUCUGUUAUGCAGCUUAUGAGGUGGCAACAUCUUGUACUUCAGAGAUUCUGAAGCCGAGCAACUUGCCCAAGUCCUUCUUCUUUUCCCAUUAACAAGAUAUGAUAUCACCAAGCCAAACGUCAUCAUUAAGUUGGAGCAGGGAGAGGAGCUGUGGAUAACGGGAGGUGAAUUUCCAUGUCAACAUAGUC